rnacentral:lncRNA from 1 species
CAGGGAGAACUAUACCUCCAGCAGAGAGUAUUGAAGAAGAGAUGAAAUUCCAAGAUAAUCUUAACACAGGUUAGCAUGGCUUCAAUUGGAUCCUUGCAUCUUUGUUAUGUUCUUCCUUCCCACUGUCAUGUAUCUGGCCUUCUACAUCAAUUCAGUUGCUUCUGCUAAAUCUGAGACCUCCACUGAGAAACUGUUUCUUGAAAGCCAUGGUAUUUCAGAGUAUCAUUGGAUAUACUCCCCAGAGCACUCCUCCUGCCAAAAAAAGGAAAAGUUCAAAAUCUCCAGAAGGGGAAAAUGUGUGAACAUAGACAUUUUGAAAUUUAAUCUGUAGCAUUAACACUUUUUAAGUCUUGACAAUCAACAAAAAGAUUUCAAGGUCACCCUCUUUUGAGUGCUUAUGGAUCUUAUCCAAGAAGCUCUCCAUUCAUUGUUUCUUGGCUUGAUUUAAUCAACACAAUGUCAUUCUCAAAUGGGAGCAUCAUGAGGACUUCAUCACUUUUAGAAAAUGCCUUUUCAACUUCAUUUCUCUGCUAGAUCUCCUCCAGUUUAAAAUCUAACAGAGGAAUAUUUAACAAAAUAAAGAAAAUGUAAUAGAACA